UACAGGAGGCAGCAGUGGGGAAUAUUGGGCAAUGGGGGAAACCCUGAUCCAGCGACACCGCGUGAGUGAAGAAUCCUCGGGAUGUAAACUCUGUUGUGUGGAACAUAAUGACGUACGCACGA
rnacentral:rRNA from 1 species